rnacentral:rRNA from 1 species
ACACGAACUGCGCGAACGUUAUGCGGAAUCACUGGGCUUAAAGAGUUCGUAGGCGGUCUGAUUAGUCGGGUGUGAAAUCCCUCGGCCUAACCGAGGAACUGCGCCCGAUACUGCCAGACUAGAGGGAGACAGGGGUGAGCGGAACUGAUGGUGGAGCGGUGAAAUGCGUUGAUAUUAUCAGGAACACCGGUGGCGAAGGCGGCUCACUGGAUCUCUUCUGACGCUGAGGAACGAAAGCUAGGGGAGCGAACGGGAUUAGAAACCCCAGUAGUCC